AUUAAUAUACGUGCUUUAUAUUAAGUGAGCUAUAUAUACUGGCCUCGAGCGUGAACCAGCUGUUGUGUGUGUGACCGAUGGUGAUGCUGCGAUCUUCACUUGUGUGACGUCUGCUAGACGGCUACGGCUGCAGCUGGCUGCAGCUGCACCAUGCAAGAUCGAUCUUGCACUGUGUUUCGCAUAGAGUUUCGUAUUAGUAUUUAUUUAGAAACGCUAUGAUUUUUCAUUAGCUACACUGAUCUUUAUUUUAUAGUCGUGUUGUUAACUCUGCCAGAUGCUAUGACCUGUAGUAUGAUUGUUGAGAAAGCUGGCAAGAGUGCUGCUUCUGAAUAGGAGCAUGAAUAUGACUAUGCUCAAACUGACAACAAUGGCCCGGGAGGUCAGAGGAUGUACUGACAUAGGAACACCAUCUGCAGCCCCCAAGCCAAUGCCACUGGCCACCCAUAAUUGUCCAACUCCAGCCCUUGAAUGUGUAGAAAAGACAUCCAGAGAGCCUGCUGCAGUAAUUCGCCACAGGCCCAUGAUCCUUUCACUGAUAUUGGUGAUGGCAGGAGACUGAGCUACUUUGAGGGGAAGGUAAUGAAGAUUGAUUCUAUUAACAGCAAGAACCGAGGUUGUACCAUGUUGUACUAAGGAGAGAAAGAGAAAGUUCAUGAGCAGAAAUCUCCGAGAUCAGCCAGAAGAGAAUUUCUCUGGUUAAGCAGAAGAGGGGGAAUGCACAAAGCUUUAGCGAACACAAGUAUUGCUCGAGCCUGUGCUGUUUUCUUUUUUUUCUUCUUCGUCUUUUUUCCUGCUGCUUUUAACACAAAUACAUUGCGUUAACAAAAGUGUUGAUUUAAUGAAGUUUUCUGUUGGAAGUGUGACUGCAUGUACUUUAAAGUUUGGCUGCAAUUCAACAGAUUUUUAUUUUCAGAAUUUUCAUUUGGUGUUAUCUUACGCAUGACCUGCAUUGAAAUCAUCCUCUUGAUGUGUACUGCUGGAUGUCGCUUGUGUGUAAAGGAACUUUUAUGUAUUUACUUGGCAGUCAAAGUAGCUGCUGCAGGAAUGAGCGUGAACAUGGAUUAAGUUCCUCUUUCUCCAUUUCCUUCUCACUUUUUGUUCACACAGUGCCAUAAGGGCAGAAGAUUGUUAAUUAAGUUGCUCUCCUUUUUUUGCCACUGUGGAAUCUUUUGGGAUACUACUGUUCUGGUGCAUAUGCUGUAUAAGUUACGGUCAUUCUCUGCUGUGACAUUCUUUUACAUUUAGUUUAUUAUUUUGGUUCAACAUAGUUGAAGUUAAUCUACAGUUAAUCUAUGGUUAGUCUAGGUUAAUGCUAUGUGAAAAUAAUAAGGUAACCUCAAGUAUUGCAACAAAGUGUGCUUAUUUUCUUUAGCAUUUGAUGAUGGACAGCUAGUUCAUUGAUGACUAAUGCAAUAUCUCUUUGCCUUUGUUGCAUUGCACUUGCUUUUGCUGCAAUGACUGAGCUGUUAUAUCAUGAUAUAUGAAUUUUUUCAUCAUCCAUGGCAAUUCGAAAAAAAAAAAAAAAGAAACAAUCUUUAAGCUGUCCAAUUUCUUGUUUUCAAUAACAACACCCGUUAGCUCAUGCAGUAUUAUGUAGUGUCCUAUUUUGUUACAUGUAGUUUUAAUGUGUUCACUUGUGGUCUUAAUAAGUGAAUGUAUUGAGACUUGCUUUAGCUUUCUUUGGUGUGGACUUACUGUGUGCUGUUAAUACAGGUCUUUCAACGUGUGGCUAAUGUUACAUUGCCGCACGCAUUUAGUGACCCUUUCUGAUUACGAUGACUUCAAGUGUUGGACCAACUGUCAGUAUAAUCUUGUUCAUGCAUCUAAGAAUUUUAAAACACCAGCUUCUAGUGCUUUGUUUUCAAUUUAAAUUGCCUUUAGUAAUGUAGCGUGUGCCUUUAGCAUUCUUCAUGCUGUGAACUGUUUCAUAUUAUGAGGUGGUUAUGUUUACCGCUGUGUUGAUUCCGUUCCUUGUGAUACCAGUAACGAUGGAAAGUGUUAGGGCAUGUGGACUUCAGCUCCGAGCUUUAGUUAGCCUGUCUUUUUGACACCUGAGUGUAACUGUACUGCUACUGUAGCUACACAUCUUUUACAGUAUCAGUCUGUUAAGACCUUAUCCAUGCUUUGCUGCAUUGUACUUAAGUUAGCUCAGAUGAAUGCAUCCAACCUUCAGCGACACCCUACUCAAGGCAUCACUGGAGCUAAUGUUUGUAAACAUAUUUACAAAAAAUUCACACAGGCAGGACAGUGGAGGUACCAAGGUACAACAAACAUGAGUAUAACAGAGUAAAUCUAAAAUUUAUCAUGCUAAUAGCAUGUGAUGAAUGUAUGUUUGAGACAAAUAUCCGAUAUAACGAAGGUAUUUUCAUAUUGGAUGCCACUUUGUAUUAAUAAAGUACAACAGUAGUAAGCAGACUCAGUACAGAUAAAAGUAGUAAAUAUCUCUGAUACUAGUGGACUGUAUCACUAGUAUCAUAAUUGAUUAAAUCAAAGCCUGUAGCUAAUUUACAAAGUUGCAAUAAACUUUGGUAGGAUAAGUGGGUGCCAUAGCAGUCAGUUGAGAGCGUUGUUAAAAUUUCUAAGAUAACAAAGGAUUAGCUAACGAUUUCAGACAUUUGGCGUUUCACAUUUGACAGUCGAUGCUGUUCUUGAUACUGUUUGCAUAAAUCUACUAAGGCCUUUUUUCCCUCAUCCA